rnacentral:rRNA from 1 species
UGGGGAAUCUUGCACAAUGGGGGAAACCCUGAUGCAGCGACGCCGCGUGAGCGAUGAAGUCCUUCGGGAUGUAAAGCUCUUUCGACGGGAACGAUUAUGACGGUACCCGGAGAAGAAGCUGCGGCUAACUACGUGCCAGCAGCCGCGGUAAUACGUAGGCAGCAAACGUUGUUCGGAAUUACUGGGCGUAAAGAGUGUGUAGGCGGUUGGGCAAGUCUGGUGUGAAAUCUCCCGGCUUAACUGGGAGGGUGCGCUAGAAACUGCCUAGCUCGAGUGUCGGAGAGGAAGGCGGAAUUCCUGGAGUAGCGGUGAAAUGCGUAGAUAUCAGGAGGAACACCAGCGGUGUAGACGGCCUUCUGGACGAUAACUGACGCUGAGACACGAAAGCGUGGGGAGCAAACAGG